rnacentral:lncRNA from 1 species
CGCGGCGGUCGCCAUGGCAACGCGGGUCGCCCGGAGGGGUGAGGAGUGAACCCCGGGAGCCAGAGCCGCCCCGCCCCGUCGGCCUCACCUGCUCGCCUCCUUGGAACCGGAACUGGGAACUUUCCUGGUUGCCAGGAGCCGAGGCGGGGGGUCGCGCUCCGCACCCGCAGGUGCUGGUGGAACAGCGUCCCGGCCUCUUCCCGCCCGUCCAGAGCCGGGUAGCACCCGAGUCCCUCACCAGCCCGACCCGUUCUUCUGCCAGCGCCCGGCCUCGCCCCGCGCCCGGAGCUCCCUUUCCCUUCCUUACCCGGCUCCGGUGGUCAUCCUCCCCAACUUUCUUUACCUGAACUCCAAGGCGCCUUGUUUCUCCCCUGCGCACCUGGCCCUGCCCACCGCCCCUGCUCACCGCCCCUGCUCCCACUACUCCCCAACAGCCAAUCCCUCCUUCCGGCCCCCACCUCUGGCUGUUUGAGAAGAGCAUGGGCUUUGGACCUGGGCUUGCGCCAUCAACUAAACCAUGUAACCUGACACCAACCCCCCCCAGCCUAUUUGCUCACCACCCAGGACCCAGACCUGGACCCACCCCAAGCUGAGAAGCGUUGGGCAAGUCUGGGCUCCCUCACUGGCAAACACCUGGGCCUUCUGCGGGAGGAAACGCUGGCAGAAAGGUUCUCUCCUGGGGACCAUUUGUACCCUGUGCAGGGCCCUUCACACCCUGGCAUGCCCACGGCUAACUCAGGACCAGAACCUGGCCCAUCCUAUUAGGACUUUUGGAGGACUUUGGCUCAAAGCCAUUGGCACAGCUUCCUGGGAGGCAAAAACGUCACAGGCAUCAUCUGAAAGCCUCCAAGGCCUCCACAGGCUAGGGGAGCCUCAAUCAGGAGGUUCAGGUCAUCCACACUGGCUACUGCCCUAGAGCUAGAGACACCCUCUUCCCACCUCCCACCAGCUAUCAAGGGUCUCCUGUCAGGUCACCCCUUUUCCUCCACUCCCACUUCCAGCACCUGAGUCCAGGUGCUUAGCACCUUGUCUGCACCAGCAUAGCAAUCCCUCCCUGGAUCCCUCACCCUUAGCCUCUGACCUCAGACUGCCAACCUGGCACCCCGG